CCUCCUUCUCACUCUUCACCUUUUUCCAGUUCAAGCUCUCUCUCUCCUCCCUCUUUCUCUCUCUAAAAUCUGCAUCUCACUCUUUCCGAGCAUAUUCCUCUGCUCUAAUCUAUAAAUCCACACCUGAUUUAUUUCACUUCUCUGAAGCAGCAAGCUUUUCCCGAGCUCUUCCAAUGGCUAUCGACGAGGACGUGGAGAGCUGCGGCAGCCGAGCGGUGCUGUCGUCGCAGGCGCAGCCUCGCCACCACCGGCAGAAGCUGGAGGUCUACAACGAGGUGCUCCGACGAAUUCAAGAGUCCAAUUUUGAGGAGGCGAAUCUUCCUGGAUUUGAUGAUCAGCUAUGGCUUCAUUUCAAUCGGUUGCCUGCUCGUUACGCGUUGGAUGUGAAUGUGGAGAGGGCAGAAGAUGUUCUAGCACAUAAGAGAUUGCUGCAAUUUGCAGAAGACCCUGCUAAUCAACCUGCCUUUGAAGUUCGCUCUGUGCAGGUUUAUCCUGUCUUCAAUGGAAAUUCUGUUGACUCGGUCCAUUCAGAUUCUUUGAUGAAAGAAGAUGCACAAAGUUCUUACAGGUACUCUAACGGACGAGGGAUUCAUGCACCUCCCACCUUUGGUUCAUCUCCUACUCUUGACGCACUGGCACUUCAAGCCAAUAGAUACCAUGUUGAAGAUGGAGGUAGUGCUAUGAGUGCAACACCAGUCUUUUCGGGGCCUAUGCAUGAGAUCACGUUUUCAACAGUUGACAAGCCCAAACUUCUUAGUCAGUUAACUUCAUUACUUGCUGAGAUUGGACUGAAUAUUCAAGAAGCUCAUGCUUUCUCCACUGUUGAUGGAUUUUCUCUUGAUGUUUUCGUGGUUGAUGGGUGGAAAUACGAGGAAACCGAGGAGCUCAAAAGUGUUCUAGAAAAGGAAAUUUCAAAAUUUAAGGAGCAACCUUGGUCAAAACCACAUCCAAUCGCUGCUGUUGGUGAGGACAAUCAAACAAGGGAUGAGUCCUUCCCCAGUUGCAUAGAAAUACCAACUGAUGGAACAGAUGUCUGGGAGAUUGAUGCAAGGCAGCUGAAAUUUGAGAACAAAGUUGGAUCUGGGUCAUUCGGUGAUCUGUACAGAGGCACUUAUUGUACUCAGGAAGUUGCCAUAAAAGUUCUCAAACCUGAGCGUGUCAAUGCAGAGAUGCUCAGGGAUUUUUCACAGGAAGUUUAUAUAUUGAGGAAGAUUCGGCACAAGAAUGUUGUGCAAUUUAUAGGAGCAUGUACACGACCUCCAAACCUAUGCAUUGUGACAGAAUUUAUGUCCAAAGGAAGUGUAUACGAUUUUCUGCAUAAGCACAAGGGUGUGUUUAAGCUUCCAUCUCUACUCAAAGUAGCAAUUGAUGUCUCCAAGGGAAUGAACUAUUUGCACCAAAAUAAUAUAAUCCACAGGGAUCUUAAGACUGCCAAUCUUCUUAUGGAUGAACAUGAAGUCGUUAAGGUUGCUGAUUUUGGGGUUGCCAGAGUGCAGACUCAAUCUGGAGUGAUGACAGCUGAAACUGGUACAUACCGCUGGAUGGCUCCUGAGGUCAUCGAACACAAACCAUAUGAUCACAAGGCAGACGUUUUCAGUUUUGGAAUAGUACUGUGGGAGCUUCUAACUGGACAAAUCCCCUACUCAUCCUUGACCCCGUUACAAGCGGCAGUAGGUGUGGUGCAAAAGAGCCUACGACCUACAAUUCCCAAGACCACUCACCCAAGAUUCGCCGAACUGCUUGAGAGAUGCUGGCAACAGGACCCGACUCAAAGACCCCCCUUUUCCGAUAUUAUAGAAAUCCUGCAGAAUUUGGCCAAAGAGGUUGGUAAUGAGGGAGAAGAUCGACGCAGACCUGGUGGUUUUUUCUCGGCACUUAGAUGGGGCAAUCACUGAGCACAGUUGAGAGAAAUCUGAUCUUGCAUGUGGACCAUUUCCAUUGCACAUACUUUUUGCAUUGUACAGUUUUUCCGAGCACUCACAGUUGUUUUUAUUGUAGUUUGUUUGUGUUUUCCUGGUGGUCUUCUCUUCAGAGACUCAGUUUUUCAUCGUCUAAUUUAGGCCGGCUGGUUAGCGGUAAUUACUAAUGAGCCCGUCAUGGACCGCGAAUGCAUUCUCAGUGUGAAUAUUUAUUUUCGACAUUGAACUGCAAGAACUUUACAGGCCACUUAUCUUCCCGGUUAGCCGGAAAAGUUGGUGAAACGAUGUAUACAGCAGAAGAUUUUUUCCUGAGUUUAAA